rfam:Triticum aestivum genome assembly, contig: Triticum_aestivum_CS42_TGACv1_scaffold_049725_1BS
UAUCUACUCCCUCCGUCCCAAAAUUCGUGUCUUAGAUUUAUCUAGAUUCGGAUGUACCUAAUACUAAAAUGUGACUUGAUACAUCCGUAUUUAGACAAAUCUAAGACAAGAAUAUUGGGACGGAGGGAGUAUUAA